GCUGUGGUAGUUCAGACGGCAAGGGCAUCUGGCUCCUGACCAGAAGGUCCCGGGUUCAAUCCCAGGUAGGGGCA
rfam:Lepisosteus oculatus linkage group LG16, whole genome shotgun sequence.